rnacentral:lncRNA from 1 species
CCCUCUCUCUUUUCCUUGUGGACACACUCCAUUUUCUUUCCUUUAGCUGUCUCUAUCUCUUUCACCCUCUCUCCUAUUCUCUCUAUCCCUCUUUAUCUCCCUCUAUGCCUCUCUACCUCAUUCUCUCUCUAGAGCUCUCUCUUUCUCUCCAGAAGUCUCUCUCUCCUCAUCUCUCUAUCUCUCUAUCCCUCCCUAUAUCUCUUAUU